AGUGGAUCCUGAGUACGACGGAGCACGUGAAAUUCCGUCGGAAUCUGGGAGGACCAUCUCCUAAGGCUAAAUACUCUCUAGUGACCGAUAGUGAACCAGUACCGUGAGGGAAAGGUGAAAAGCACCCCGGAAGGGGAGUGAAAUAGAACCUGAAACCGUGUGCUUACAAGUAGUCAGAGCCCGUUAAUGGGUGAUGGCGUGCCUUUUGUAGAAUGAACCGGCGAGUUACGAUUUGAUGCAAGGUUAAGCAGUAAAUGUGGAGCCGUAGCGAAAGCGAGUCUGAAUAGGGCGUUUAGUAUUUGGUCGUAGACCCGAAACCAGGUGAUCUACCCUUGGUCAGGUUGAAGUUCAGGUAACACUGAAUGGAGGACCGAACCGACUUACGUUGAAAAGUGAGCGGAUGAACUGAGGGUAGCGGAGAAAUUCCAAUCGAACCUGGAGAUAGCUGGUUCUCUCCGAAAUAGCUUUAGGGCUAGCCUCAAGUGAUGAUUAUUGGAGGUAGAGCACUGUUUGGACGAGGGGCCCCUCUCGGGUUACCGAAUUCAGACAAACUCCGAAUGCCAAUUAAUUUAACUUGGGAGUCAGAACAUGGGUGAUAAGGUCCGUGUUCGAAAGGGAAACAGCCCAGACCACCAGCUAAGGUCCCAAAAUAUAUGUUAAGUGGAAAAGGAUGUGGCGUUGCCCAGACAACUAGGAUGUUGGCUUAGAAGCAGCCAUCAUUUAAAGAGUGCGUAAUAGCUCACUAGUCGAGUGACACUGCGCCGAAAAUGUACCGGGGCUAAACAUAUUACCGAAGCUGUGGAUUGUCCUUUGGACAAUGGUAGGAGAGCGUUCUAAGGGCGUUGAAGCAUGAUCGUAAGGACAUGUGGAGCGCUUAGAAGUGAGAAUGCCGGUGUGAGUAGCGAAAGACGGGUGAGAAUCCCGUCCACCGAUUGACCAAGGUUUCCAGAGGAAGGCUCGUCCGCUCUGGGUUAGUCGGGUCCUAAGCUGAGGCCGACAGGCGUAAGCGAUGGAUAACAGGUUGAUAUUCCUGUACCACCUAUAAUCGUUUUAAUCGAUGGGGGGACGCAGUAGGAUAGGCGAAGCGUGCGAUUGGAUUGCACGUCUAAGCAGUAAGGCUGAGUAUUAGGCAAAUCCGGUACUCGUUAAGGCUGAGCUGUGAUGGGGAGAAGACAUUGUGUCUUCGAGUCGUUGAUUUCACACUGCCGAGAAAAGCCUCUAGAUAGAAAAUAGGUGCCCGUACCGCAAACCGACACAGGUAGUCAAGAUGAGAAUUCUAAGGUGAGCGAGCGAACUCUCGUUAAGGAACUCGGCAAAAUGACCCCGUAACUUCGGGAGAAGGGGUGCUCUUUAGGGUUAACGCCCAGAAGAGCCGCAGUGAAUAGGCCCAAGCGACUGUUUAUCAAAAACACAGGUCUCUGCUAAACCGUAAGGUGAUGUAUAGGGGCUGACGCCUGCCCGGUGCUGGAAGGUUAAGAGGAGUGGUUAGCUUCUGCGAAGCUACGAAUCGAAGCCCCAGUAAACGGCGGCCGUAACUAUAACGGUCCUAAGGUAGCGAAAUUCCUUGUCGGGUAAGUUCCGACCCGCACGAAAGGCGUAACGAUUUGGGCACUGUCUCAACGAGAGACUCGGUGAAAUCAUAGUACCUGUGAAGAUGCAGGUUACCCGCGACAGGACGGAAAGACCCCGUGGAGCUUUACUGUAGCCUGAUAUUGAAAUUCGGCACAGCUUGUACAGGAUAGGUAGGAGCCUUUGAAACGUGAGCGCUAGCUUACGUGGAGGCGCUGGUGGGAUACUACCCUAGCUGUGUUGGCUUUCUAACCCGCACCACUUAUCGUGGUGGGAGACAGUGUCAGGCGGGCAGUUUGACUGGGGCGGUCGCCUCCUAAAAGGUAACGGAGGCGCUCAAAGGUUCCCUCAGAAUGGUUGGAAAUCAUUCAUAGAGUGUAAAGGCAUAAGGGAGCUUGACUGCGAGACCUACAAGUCGAGCAGGGUCGAAAGACGGACUUAGUGAUCCGGUGGUUCCGCAUGGAAGGGCCAUCGCUCAACGGAUAAAAGCUACCCCGGGGAUAACAGGCUUAUCUCCCCCAAGAGUUCACAUCGACGGGGAGGUUUGGCACCUCGAUGUCGGCUCAUCGCAUCCUGGGGCUGUAGUCGGUCCCAAGGGUUGGGCUGUUCGCCCAUUAAAGCGGUACGCGAGCUGGGUUCAGAACGUCGUGAGACAGUUCGGUCCCUAUCCGUCGUGGGCGUAGGAAAUUUGAGAGGAGCUGUCCUUAGUACGAGAGGACCGGGAUGGACAUACCUCUGGUGUACCAGUUGUCGUGCCAACGGCAUAGCUGGGUAGCUAUGUGUGGACGGGAUAAGUGCUGAAAGCAUCUAAGCAUGAAGCCCCCCUCAAGAUGAGAUUUCCCAACUUCGGUUAUAAGAUCCCUCAA
rnacentral:rRNA from 1 species